UGGCUGAGAGUAGAACAGGUCCAGACAGGCGCAGAGACGCCCUGCUAGGACACUCUCAGGAACACGAGACCUUUGGUUUGCUUGGUGGCCCCGCAGACUAAGGAAACCAAAGGCUAAGCAGGAGUGCAAGGCUGGAAACAUUCUCCCCACACCUCCUCAGAAGCCUAGCCCAACUGCUGCUAGGCUCGACGACCCCAAGGCACACUCUGCUGACCUCUAUUGACUAAUGGCGCCGGUUUCCAGGCCUCCUGCCGGAACCAGGGAAGGAGACUGGGGCAGCAGAAAGCGGUGGGCCCGAGUAGGGCUCUGUGGGACCAGGCUGGAGGUGGACCCUGGAGUUCCAGGCAUACAGAGAGAUGGGGGAGCAAAAGGGGUGAGGGGACUUCAGUUGUCAGAAAAGAGGAAAUCAGCCAAACGGAUGAGCAGUUUUUGAGACUGGAGCAGAAUUGGGAAAAUGACUCAUUUGGGAAGCCUGGAGCUCCAACUCAUUGUGUAACAAUGAACCCACCACAAAAUAUCUGUAGAUCGAAGCAAGGUGCAAUAGCAAGAGCAGAAAUAAAUACCAUUUCACGAAAACAUUUGCAGCUUAAAGACCCUGUCUGUGGACCCCCAGGGAAGUCAUGUCGUACACAGCCUGGAGAUUGUGCUCACCUGAUGGGUGAAAAACUGAGGACCAGAGAAGGUCCCCGGGUUUGUGACCCUGCACAAAACUUGG
rnacentral:lncRNA from 1 species